rnacentral:rRNA from 1 species
CAUCGGUGACAGGUGGUGCAUGGUUGUCGUCAGCUCGUGUCGUGAGAUGUUGGGUUAAGUCCCGCAACGAGCGCAACCCCUAUUGUUAGUUGCCAUCAUUCAGUUGGGCACUCUAACGAGACUGCCGGUAAUAAACCGGAGGAAGGUGGGGAUGACGUCAAAUCAUCAUGCCCCUUAUGACCUGGGCUACACACGUGCUACAAUGGUUGGUACAACGAGUUGCGAGUCGGUGACGGCGAGCUAAUCUCUUAAAGCCAAUCUCAGUUCGGAUUGUAGGCUGCAACUCGCCUACAUGAAGUCGGAAUCGCUAGUAAUCGCGGAUCAGCACGCCGCGGUGAAUACGUUCCCGGGCCUU